rnacentral:misc_RNA from 1 species
GCGUGAGGAGAUGUCUUCUGUUCUUCGGAAAAUGAGGUAAUGUCUGGCCUGUGUCUUGUAUUUUACUUUCCAUGUUCAUUGACUGUAAGCAUUGAGUUAUUUGUUCUGUUACAAGCAAUAUUUAGGGGAAAAUGCAUUCUAAAGAAAAAAAUUUGAUUGUAUUUUUCUUUUCUUUUUCUAUAUCCAUUCCAGUUCUGUAACAUUCUGUUGGUCUGUUUGUUCAAGAAAUGAGUGCUUGUGCUUCGAUCACCCAGAUGCCAUAGCACUUGUUGGAGUUCCAGUGCAACAUUUGUUGAUACUUAUUUUGUGGUGUCUGUUAUCAUUUUGAAAUUUUGCUGAAGAAUUUUGAUCGUUUGCAAUCUAAACCUAAUUUCAAAUAGAUUUGAAUUGAUUGGCAACUUGUGUAUUUUUUCAUUUUUGUUAAAUCUGGCUUGUUUUUAUGAAAAGAUCCCUUUGUCUGCUAAUGAUU